AUGGAGUUCCCAGGCCAGGGAUCAGAUCCCAGUGGCAGUUGCGACCUUUGCCACAGCUACAGCAGUGCUUUAACCCACUGUGCUAGGCCAAGAAUCGAACCUGCAUCCUGGUGCUGCAGUGAUGCCACCGAUCCAGUUGCACCACAGUGGGAACUCCUCAUUCACCAGUUAUUAAGCGUCCAUUGGGUGCCAGGUGUGGGACCAGUCCUGCCUGGGGGAAGCUGGGAUCUGGGGCUCCAAAGGGUUUGUGAGUGUGAACUGGUGUGCGUGCAAAAGUGUGAGCGUGUGUGUGUGAGCAUGAGCAUCAGUGUGGAUGUGGGAGGUAGCAUGUGUGCACACUCAUGAGUGUGACACUGAAUGUACAUGUGAGUUUGCAAGAAUGUGCGUGAGGGUGGAGUCGGUGUGGCACUGGGCAUGUGGGCACACGAGCGAGUGAACCAGGUUGAGGGUGGCAGGAUGGGAGUGACUCUGAGUGCGGAAGCAGAGCCCAUGGGCAGCUGGGCAAACAUGUCCUCUCGGCUGGUGUCUCUCAAUGUGGGAACUGCUGGCCCUGUGCCCUACCCGAUCACCCCCAUCUCUGCCCCCGGGCUCCCUGGAAUCAGGUCAGGGGGUGGGGAAAGGGGGGGUGAAGCUGCUGAGUUCCAGGCAGAGCCCCUGCCCGCUCCUUGGGCCUGUCAGCCACUGAUCUGUUCCAUGUUCCUAUAAAUAUUUACAAAUCCCAGCUGCCGAGGAGCAAGACAUCCUCCGCCAGCUGGGGCUCCCAGCCUGGAAGCUGAUGGGGAGGGAAAUGGGGGAAGGAAAGGCGGGCUGCACUGGAGAGACGGGCGGCCAGGACUCCCACGUUCAGCCCCUAGUCUGGCCUUAGGUUAGCCCAUGCACCCCGUGACUUUAGCAGGUACUGUGGAGCGGAAAUCUUCGUGCCGCUGCCUCAGGAAGCCUGCACCAUCCACUACCCAGUGGAGAGGGGGGCCCCCUUUACAGCCAACCUCAAAGAAUUGAAGUCUCUCAAUUCUUUUUUUUUUUCUCCCCUUUUUGGCCGCCCCUUGGCAUAUGGAGUUCCCAGGCCAGGGAUCAGAUCCGAGCCACAAUCUCAACCUAAGCCAAGGCUGUGGCAGUGCUGGAUCCUUAACCCCAUGUGCAGGGCUGGGAUCGAACCCACUUCCCAGCACUCCCAAGGCUCCACUAGUCCCCUUGUGCCACAGCAGGAGCUCCAAGUCUCUCAAUUCUAAGCAAAGAGAGGAGUCUUAAAAACAUAGAGAAUUUGGAGUUCCUGUUGUGGUGCAGUGGAAACAAAUCCGACUAGGAACCAUGAGGUUGUGGGUUCGAUCCUUGGCUGAGUUCAGUGGGUUAAGGAUCUGGCGUUGCUGUGGCUCUGGCGUAGGCCAGCAGGUGCAGCUCCAAUUAGACCCCUAGCCUGGGAACCUCCAUGUGCCGCAGGUGCAGACCUAAAGAAAAAAAAAAAAUAGAGAAUUCUCCCUCUGCUGUAUCGCACUAGGAACUAUGUCUAAUCACUUGUGAUGAAUCUAUACAUGUAUGUGUAACCGGGUUACCACACUGUACAGUAGAAAAUUGACAGAACACUAUAAACCAGCUAUAAUGGAAAAAUUAAAAAUCAUUAUUAAAAAAAUUAUUAACUCCAUAAAAAAAAGAGAGAGAGAGAGAAUUCUCCCUGAGUCCCUGGAAGGUAUUUUUUUCUCUCAACUCAAAAAUUUUCCCCCGGGUACCUUGAUAAAUCCAUCUGGAUCUUUCUAAACCGGAGGCUGGGAGUUUCGUGGAGGCCUAGUGGCUAAGGAUCUGGCAUUGUUGCUGCUGUGGCAUGAGUUCGAUCCUCGGCCCCUGGAACGUUUACGUCCGCAUGCUUUUUGGCUUCCGCAUGCCAAAACAAAUUUUUUAAUAAGUAAACAAAUAAACAAAUUGGCAGCUGAAGGACUUGCA
rnacentral:lncRNA from 1 species